CUCGUAGUCACUCUGAGAGGUUUGUGUCAUCAGAACAGUGGUUUUGUCAAAAUCAGCCCCCGGGCUCAUCACGAACCACCCAAGUUUGGUCAAUUCAGCUACUGGGUCACCGUCCUCACCGACAAGUGGUACAGUUCCGGUUUUAAUUCGAGCGUAUUCUCCACUUCCCAACAUCAUGUGAAUCGGGAGUUGCUGUUUCGAAUCAUGGUCUGCGAUCUCGACUUGUUUCAGGUGCUGAUGCUUUCGUAUCAACUGUUCAUAUCUUGGGUUAUCAAUCCUCAACAGUUCACCCUUGUUGACUUUUGUCACACGUACUUCCA